ensembl:lncRNA
CAGUAUAUGGAGGUUCCCAGGCUAGGGGUCUAAUGAGAGCUGUAGCCACUGGCCUACACCACAGCCAUGGCAAUGCAGGAUCCAAGCUGUGUCUUCGACCUACACCACAGCUCACGGCAACGCCAGAUCCUCAACCCACUGAGCGAGGCCAGGGAUUGAACCUGCAACCUCUUGGAUUUGUUUCUGCUGCACCAUGACAGGAACUCCUUGUUAGGCAUUUUUUAUCAUUAGUAUAUAUUGCUUUUAUCAUCAGAAAAUGUAGUAGCUUUAAAAAAAAAAAAACUGGAUAGGUAUGUUCCCUUUUGGCAGAGUACUGUCAGAAUCUUUCCAUUCAUAUGUAGGAAGCUCUUCUUGAUGGAAUUCAAUUGCUCAAAAAAAAAAUCACAAAAAGAAAAAUCAGAUGAAAGACAUAAUGUAAAUGUUCAGGGUCUGGCAUAUAACAGGUGCUCAAUAAAUGUUUGCGGAAUGAUGAGAUAAAUAAAUGAAUGUGCACUUAUUUGCCACCUGUGUUCUUUAAAAAUUAUCUGUAAGCAAAUAUGUUCCUUUUGAAUAAUAUCUCCAGUAGAUUUCUCUGUUUACAGAAUUCAUUUUUUUCCCUCAUACAUCUUCAGAAUCCAAAAUGCUCGGGAAAGGCGGGGAGUGGGCCAUAAAAAAACAAGGUUUUAACAUGAGGGAAAAGGGAUUUUCACAAACCACCAAAGUGCUACUUCUCUUGGAAGAAGUGCACCCUGGAUUUUUUCCAGCUGAAUUCUGCAACAAAACCCAAGGAAAAUGAACAUUAAUCUUUUAUGAACUAAGCCCCCGAACGAACAGGCUUUGAGCUCAACCCUAAUUAGGCUGCAUCUCAAUACAGAGAAUCCUUAACGAAUAAGGACACAUAACAACACAGGCAAGCUCUCUGCUGGGAUUGAUUCAGAAAUGAAGGGGCCGCCCAGGCCACACUCAACUGCUUCUGUGCAUUAGAGAUUCUUGACUUUACCUGGAAAAUGCACGGUCAUCUUGGAUGGAAAGCAAAUGGAGUUUCCUCUAACUGAAAUUCUUGGCCACCUGGCUAUCUCCAUGGCCAUCGGGGGGUCUGUGGAUAAAUGAGAAGAGAAAGGGCAAGAAGCAGGGCUCUUAAAGUGAGCCUUGGCAAGUCAACAUGGCUGUGCUCACAAACAAGGCAAUCCACAAAUGCAUUAAGUACUUGGUGGGGGGCGGGGGUAGAGGUAAUGGGUCUAGAGUCUGAGAGACCUGGGUUCAGAUCUCAGCUUGGCCAUUCCUGGUCCUGUGACCUAGGACAAUUUCACCUAGCCACUCUGAACCAUCAUUUCCUCAUCUAUAAAAUGGGGAUAGAGGUACCGAAUGAUGGGAGGAUCAAAUGAGACAAACAAAGCAGCUCUCAGGGGUUGUUAAUUGCUAAGACAGACUUUAUUUCCCUAACCACACCUGCCCCGACUCCAUUCUCUUAUUCGCUCCAAAAAAACAAGAGUGGAAGUUUAAUGAUUCCCCAUAUUACAGUCCAGGAAGCUGGAAGUCAGAGACAUGAGGUCAUUUGUCCAAAGUGAUAAAGCAAGGGAGCAGCAAGGUUAAGAUUUCAGCUCAAAUCUGCCUAUCCCAAAUCAUGGGCUGACCGCAGGAAUGUGAGUCAACUGGCCAGAUGUCAAAGACACAAGAAUGAUUGACAUUUGACAUUCAGAGUCAGGGAAUGUCAGAUCCCAGGACCCAUAUGCAUGCUUCAGGGUAACCAGAGAGAGGCCUCAGGAUGGGCUGUGACUGGGCUGUUUUGGCUGGGGGGUGGGGGUGGGGGGGAAUGCCCUUCCCAGGGCAGCUGGGCUGCUGUCUGUACUUAGCUGCAGUAGGUAUUGGCACUUGACGGACUGCUCUAGGGCCUGUGGGUGAUUAUGGCCAAGAUAUAAACCCACAUCAUCUCAUUUGUCCACCCUGCAUCUGUCUUCAACAGGGCAUUCUCCAAAUCACCCAAUUCUCUUCCCCACGUGCGCAUGCUGGGAUAGUCUUGGAUCCCCAUGAAACAACAGGUGCAAUAUCCUCCCCAGUCUUCCUCAGGAGCUGCCCCCACCCCACACCACCACACCUUAGCUUCCUUAGAGAUUCUCUGAUGUCAUUUAUUUGGCUUAUAAUAAACCCCUUGCCCUAAAUCUCAUGGUCCCACAUUUGCCCAGCCUCUCUCUGCUGCCCAAGAAUGCCUUAUCUGAUUACCAUAAUUAACUGGUACCAUGCUAGAAAGCUGAGCCAGAAUCAGAACUCUUGGGUGAAGAAGAUUUGCCAAGGGUUACAAUGCAUGAGAAUUGGAGUGGAUAGAACUUGGCACCUGAAACCUCUUCCCUCCACAUAGAACUUAUUCGAGAAACUCAUUAACUCUGAGCAGCGUAGUCACAUUUCCGGAAGAAGUUAGGGUCUGGGAAUCCACUUGGACUUAGACAAUCCUGCUCUUCAAUCACUAGCCCCAGAAUGUAUUGCCCUCCUCUUCCUAUUGUCACAAUUUGCUACAUUAUGUGAUACUAUGAUUAUUUACUGUAAUAUAUUAUCAUUAUAUUUCUAUCAGCCAACAUUUAUUACGCAUCUACUAUGUGCCCAACACGGUGCCGUUUCACACUGUACAUCUUAUCUCAGCCUCACAAACAAUUUGGAGAAGGGUAACAGUAGGGUUAUCUUUAUCUUGUGGAUGUGGACAGUAAGCUCAGAGCAUUAAGCAUUCCAGAGGUCCCUUGUAUGCAUGAAUGUUUGAUAACCUCUAGUCUGAAAAUCUGGAAGGGAGGAGAUGGCAUCCAGCCAGGAGAAUCAAAGUGAGAAAGCAAGAACUUUUAACUGGUUGGAGAAGAACAGGAAGAAACAUGGGAGAAAAGAUUUUGGGCAGAGGGAACAGCAGGAGAGAUGGCUCAGAGACAAAAAAAGUGCAUACAACAGCGCCUGGCAUACAGGAUGUCCUCCAAAUGCUUGACGAAUUGCUAGUCUGACUUUUGCAAAUGGGUCUUGGAUGACAAUACACAAUCUAGAAGCAGUUACUUGAGAGGAAGGAGAAGGCAAAAGCCCCUGCUGUCUAUACCAGCCACUCAUCUAGUUUUCCGAGCAAUGCAGUAAAGUAGCUUCUGUGUCUCCACUUUAUAGGCAGGAAACCAGAAUCUCAAAGUGGCUUGUCUCAGAAAGGUCAAAAAGUUCAAAAGUGGUAGAAUUUGGAAGUUCCUGUCGUGGCUCAGCGGUAACAAACAUGACUAAUAUUCAUGAGGACUCAGGUUUGAUCCCUGGCCUUGCUCAGUGGGUUAAGGAUCCUGUGUUGCUGUGGCUGUGGUGUAGGUCAUAGAUGCAGCUCAGAUCUGGCAUUGCUGUGGCUGUGGUUUAGGCCAGCAGCUGCAGCCCUGAUUCGUCCCUUAGCCUAGGAAAUUCUGUAUGCCUCGGGUGUGGCCCCUCAAAUACACACACGCACAAGAAGUGGUAGAAUUUGUGUUCAGGCCCAGCUCUGCCUGGGUCAACAGCCCUUGGUCCAUCCUCCAUGUCAUGCUGAAGAAGCAAAGCCUGCCUCCCACUUCCAGGCUUCAGAAGCUCCUUUCUGGGCUGACACUGGCACCAAGUCUGACUCAGACCAGCCUGGAUUGGUGACACUUAUAUCCUUUAAGAAGCAAAUGCUUUUCACCCUCUUGGUAUUUUCUGCACAGGAUGCAGUAAUGCCAAGAUUCUGGGUACACGUCAUCGGGAUGGAAAAGGCUACAAGAUGCCUUGGGCAGGGGAGGAAGCAUCCAGCUUUGAAGCGCAGCUGAAAUCAGCAGGAGAAGCUGUGUUGCUCCAAGCAAAGCCCCAGAUGGGGCCUCGAAUGAGAUCGCCCCCCUCAUCCCCGGCUGCCAAUGCAACAUCUGCUCCCAACAUAUUGGCCGGUGAAUAUUUCAGAUCCACACCCCCAAAUCCAGAUGUGUUUGUGUCGUGAACUCUGCACACCCUGCUAGAAAUUACUGAGGUCUGAAAAAGGAAAUUAAGGACUCACUCAGGCACACACAGACCAGUGACCUGAAUUAGUCUGUGCACAGUCGAAGUUUAGGGUGCUCACAUUUAGGGACCCCAUAUACCAGCUUCCACUCAUCUGCUGGCCCACAUUAAUUUCACCAGAAGUUGGAGUUCCUGUCGUGGCGCAGCAGAAACAUAUCUGACUAGGAACCGUGAGGUUACAGGUUCGAUCGCUGGCCUCACUCAGCGGGUUAAGGAUCCGGGGUUGCUGUGAGCUGUGGUAUAGGUCACAGACAUGGCUCAGAUCUGGCGUUGCUGUGGCUCUAGCACAGGCCGGCAGCUAUAGCUCCCAUUAGACCCCUAGCCUGGGAAACUCCAUAUGCCACAGGUGUGGCCCUAAAAAAAAAGACCAAAAAAAAAAAAAAACUCAACAGAAGUCAUAUGUAAAGGAAUUGAUGUUUGCUUUCAACUGAGUGCCAGUGAAACUUUAUGAAUGCAGAAAUCAUCCUUUGCACAAUGGCCAGAGGCUGUUUAUUUUUAUUUAUUAGCAUAUUGGUUGGAAUGUCAAUGCAGUUUUCAAGCACUGCACUUCCAAUAGCAGAGAAAUCAAGUCAACUAAAGAGCACUGCAUUUCAGCCCUGGUUACACAUAUGGAUCUCUUGGGGAGCUUUGCAAACACCGGUGAUUCAGUCCCAGUGGGAAGCCCCAGACGUGGGGCCCCAGCACCCAUAUUUUGUUCAAAGUUCCCAGGUUGAUUCUCUUCCACAGCUAGUGCUGAGAACCUGUACUGUGAAAUACACCCUCCUGGACUGCUGCAAAAGCAGUCAAAACCAGGGUGGGGCGAUGGGGCUGGGGGGAGGUGCAGGAGUCAAGGGCAUUGCCUUUACCUCAGAUGGUUGCAGGUAACUCUCGGGUCUUUCGCAGACUAACAUGCCAAUCUGGACAAGGCAUUUAAUCUUCGUGAGCCUGUUUCCUCGUCAGUCAAUGGAGAUAAUGGUACUUGAAUGGGUUUAAGACUGCUUAAAUGAAAAAAUCUUGGUAAAGUGCUUUGCAUGGAGCCUGACAUAUUGCUAGGGAUUCAGCCAAUAAUAACCAUUACUGUUAUGCUGCGGGUGAGGGGAAGACUGGAAUAAUGCACAUUAAAAUUUUAACACUGGUGGAGUUCCUGCUGUGGCUCAGCGGGUUAAGAACCCAACAUAGUGUCCAUGAGGAUGGGGGCUCAAUCCCUGGCCCUGAUCAGUGGGUUAAGGAUCCAGUGUUACAGCAAGCUUCAGUGUAGGUUGCAGAUGCAGCUCAGAACUGGCGUUGCUAUGGCUCUGGUGGAGGCUGGCACCUGCAGCUCCAGUUUGACCCCUAGCCCGGGGAAGCCUCCAUAUGCCACAAGUGCAGCCUUUUAAGAAAAAAAAAAGGGGGGGGCAGAAAAAGAAUUACACUGUAGCAGCUCAGGUAGUUUUAGAGGCCUGGGUUCCAUCCCCGCCCUGAGCAGUGGAUUGGGUGAAGGAUUUGGCACUGCCGAAGCCUCUGAGUAAAGAUCACGGCUGCGGCUCAGAUCCAGUCCCUGGCCUGGGAAGUUCCGCAUGCUGCAGAUGCCACCAAAAUAUAAAAACUCAUGCCUUAUGAUGGCUUUUAUACAUGUAAAUGUUUGGGGGGUGUUAGUCCAAAUGUGGCUCUCUAAUUGCAUGUAUCAGCAAUUUUGCCUAUCGUACUGUCUAAGAAUUUGAUACUUGGGGGUUCUGUGUGAAUUAAGCAGGCUUAAUUUUUUUUCUUUUGGUACAUAAUUCAGUGUUACCAGGUGUAGGUA